rfam:Fukomys damarensis contig131390, whole genome shotgun sequence.
GCCGGGCGUGGUGGCACAUGCCUGUAAUCCCAGCACCUGGGAGGCUGAGGCAGGAGGAUCACUGUGAGUUUGAGAACAGCCUGACCUACAUAGUGAGUUCCAGGUCAGUCUCAACUACAUAGUGAGACCCUGUCUCAA